GUUUGAGAUUACAACCUUGUUCAGCUGAGCUUGGAAAGGACUCGAGACUGACAGUAUCUGUGCGCUCGAGCAGUAAGAGCAGCUGGGCUGAGAGGAGAAAUUCUAGUCAGGUGACUCCAUGGUCAAGAGCAGUCAGUGGGGAAGUGGACACAGUGGCGUGAGGACAUUGUCUCGGACCACAGCUACAGACACACACCCACUAUAACACACUCGCACACACUUCAACAGGCACGCAGUUUGUUUUAACCAGGCCAAUCAUUGCAUUUUACCCCGCUUCAUUGUCUCAGUUGUGGGGAACCAUUUAGUCGUGGCAUCCAGACAUUUGUGAGAGAAUCACUGUCCUUUUUACACCUGUUAUCAAGUUAUUGUACAUUCCAUAAUUAGAUAUUUUUUUGUUUAUCAUAUUUUUUUUAGUUUUUUCCUAGAAGCCUAACUGACCAAACUCCCACCCGAGAUCCACACACCCCUCUCUCAUGGGAGUAACAUAGAGACCAGCCUAGCACAGACUCUCUCUCUCUCUCUCUCUCUCUCUCUCUCUCUCUCUCACACACACACACAAACAUCUGCACCUUGUUCAGGAUGCCCUCCUCCUCCAGCGUGAUUAGCUGUGGAGGGAUGUGGCUCUUGUGGUGAUUGGAGGGGGGAGUGGAGUUGAGCUGGCCUCAUGUCGUGGAAGAGAAACUACUUUGCGUCAGGCAGCAGUGGGCUGCAGGGGAUGUUUACCCCUCGCACCAUGACCUCCAUCGCUCCCAGCAAAGGCCUGAGCAAUGAGCCGGGUCAGAACAGCUGCUUCUUGAACAGCGCACUACAGGUCCUUUGGCAUCUUGACAUCUUUCGCAGAAGCUUCAGGCAGCUGAACACUCACAAGUGCAUGGAGGACUCCUGCAUCUUCUGCGCACUGAAGAGCAUCUUUGCCCAGUUCCAGUUCAGCAGUGAGAAGGUGCUCCCAUCAGAUGCCCUGCGCAGCGCUCUGGCCAAAACCUUCCAAGACGAGCAGCGCUUUCAGCUAGGCAUCAUGGACGACGCAGCCGAGUGUUUCGAGAACCUCCUGAUGCGGAUCCACUUUCACAUCUCGGAUGAGACUAAGGAGGACAUCUGCACGGCCAAGCACUGCAUCCCACAUCAGAAAUUUGCCAUGACACUUUUCGAACAGUGUGUUUGUAAUAAUUGUGGAGCCACGUCGGACCCUCUUCCCUUCAUUCAAAUGGUUCACUACAUCUCCACCACCUCUCUCUGUAACCAAGCUGUGCGAAUGCUGGAAUGUAAAGAGAAGCCCACACCCGACAUGUUCGGAGAGCUUAUUCGCAAUGCCAGCACCAUGGGUGACCUGCGAAACUGUCCGAGUAACUGUGGAGAGAUGUUGCGAAUCAGACGUGUUUUGAUGAACUGCCCGGAGAUCAUCAGCAUCGGCCUGGUGUGGGACUCGGACCAUUCUGAUCUGGCUGAAGACGUCAUCCACAGCCUGGGGACGUGCCUGCGGCUGGGUGAUCUGUUCUACCGUGUUACAGAUGAGCGGGCCAAGCAAUCAGAGCUCUACCUUGUGGGCAUGGUGUGCUACUACGGCAAGCAUUACUCCACCUUCUUCUUCCAGACCAAGAUACGCAAGUGGAUGUACUUUGAUGACGCACAAGUGAAGGAGAUCGGUCCCAAGUGGAAGGACGUGGUGUCACGAUGUAUAAAGGGCCACUACCAGCCACUCCUGCUGCUGUACGCUGACCCCCGGGGGACACCCGUGUCAUCACAGGACACACUGGCUGCACAGCUUGACCUGCACCACAGCAGCAAGGCCGGAUAUGACAGCGAAGACUCUGGGAGGGAGCCCUCAAUUUCAAGUGACACACGCACAGACUCUUCCACAGACAGUUACAGCUACAAGCACUCUCGAUCACACCAUGAGUCCAUGGCCUCCCAUUUCUCUUCUGACUCUCAGGGAACUGUGGUGUGUAAUCAGGUCAGCAGAAGUUCCAAGAACAGCAUGGACACUGCAGAGGAGCUGCUUAAAGAGCAGGCCACCAUGCAGAGACUCUCUUCUAGCCAUCUGCAGGACUAUAAAGAGACUGUGAAUACAAUUCACAGCAGACCUCUCUCAUCAUCCUCUAGUUCUGGGGUGGGCGGCUCAGAGGCUGGGGCGCGGGCGAGGGACUGGGAAGACGAGAGCACCAGCAGCGAGUCCAAGUCCAGCUCCAGUGGAGGGCGCUAUAGACCAACAUGGAGACCCAGAAGAGAGGCCCUGAACAUUGACAGCAUCUUUAGCCAGGACAGACAUCGGCCGGGUGGCUAUGUCACACUCGGGCCGUCCCCGCUUCCGGAAGACGUGGUGUCCCCAAUGCAGGGAGAGCUAACUUCAGGGGCCACUGCAGAUGGGUUGAGCACAGCAGCAACAGAGAAAGACAACAUAAUCGAUGACAAGCAGGGUUUAUUGGAGACAGGGGUGGAGCGUCUACCAAUCCCACCCCUUUUAAGAGGCAUAGAGCACCAACCUCGGCUGAUCCAGAGGAUGGAGAGUGGAUACGAAAGCAGCGAGAGAAACAGCAACAGCCCCAUCAGCAUGGACAUGCCACUCAGCGAUAACCCAAUCACCAGUGUUCACAGGGGUAGUGGCAGUAAGAGGCCUGUAACUUCAGGACCCUCCUGGCGCACAGUGCCCAAGUCCAAAAGCAGCAGUGCCAUCCUGCAAGACCUCAAAUCCCCUACAUGGAGCAGUGCUUCACUCAGUUUGGGAGAGGGUCGCAGUGAGCUAGAUGAGUUGCAGGAGGAAGUUGCACGCAGAGCCAGGCAGCAGGAGCUGCAGAGGAAGAAAGAGAAGGAGAGAGAAGUAGCCCAGGGCUUCAACCCCAGACCCAGCAAGUUCAUGGACCUGGAUGAACUUCAGCACCAGGGGAAGGGGGGCAGUUUCGAACGCUGCCUGGCGGAGGCUGACUCUCUGUUAGAGCAGUCGCUGCACCUGGAGCAGGCUGGGGACACAGCUACAGCCUUGGCGCUCUCCCAUCACGCUGUGUCUAAACUAAGAUUUUCCAUGCAUGAGGGCAGUGCUAACACUCAUAGCAGGACUAUGGCUGCUGACACCAAGCUGCAAAAAUGCAUGAGGAGAGCACGGGGCCUACAGCAGCGCAUGCAACAACAACAACAAGAGCAGCAGCAAGAGCCCAGCCAGCCAAAGGGGCUCACCAGUGAACAACUUGGCCCGGUCCAAGUACUGUUGACAGACAAUCAGAAAGAGGUCUGGGAGACCAAUCAGGAUACUGUGCUUGGCCCACCCUCUCCUCAACAUAUGAAAACACCCUCUUCUUGUACAAACUCCCCAUCUCAACCCAACAGCUGCCCAAUAUUGAGCAAUGCUCGGCCUGCCUCUUCUCAGCCACAACCCCAAGAUCCCAAUGAAGGUAGCAACUGGUCAAUGCAGAAUGAGGAUGAAUGGGGUGGCAUCAGAUUAUCAGAUGUUCUCCAGGCAUCAGGUGUUCAUAUCAGGCCCAUUCGCAAGCAUCUGGCCAUAUCUCUGCCUUCUUUGCCUCUUGACUUCUGGGGUGUAUUGGGUGAGGAUGAAGAGGUCUCCAGCCAUCAGCAUCCUCAAAAUUUGAGCUCUCAGUCUUCAUCCCCAAAUCCACCCUUGUGGAAAGGCACUGCAGGUAAUCCAGACUGGAUACACCAAACCAGCAGGACCACGAGUCCACUUCCCAUACCCCCUCAUGCUGAGGAGAAGGACCAGAUGCUCAGACAAGCCCCCAUAUGGCAGCCCCUAUGCACAGCUUCCCAGCCACGCUCACCGGUCCUGUCUCAUUCCAGUUCCAGACUGACCCCUUUUGUUGCUGCUCGUCAUUGGUCCUCCUGGAGCCUAGACCGCCCUGAUGCUGUCGUAACACCCUAUGAGACACCUCCUGACCAGAACCACCGGACCGGAACCCUCUCUCAACUCACACCGGGAGGGCACCUGCCUCUUCACAGUCCCAUGAGCACCAGAAAAAAGAGUGCCCCAAGCACGGAGCUGGAACCCACAGAGGCUGAGGACCAGGAAAUUUCUGAACUAGACUCGCUCUACCAAGCCAGUCUCCAGGCUGGCCCCAGUCCUUGCCGUGCCCUGCAUGGUAACAGCUCACUUGGGAGACUAGUACCUCCUGCUGCACGGAAGUUACACACUGGAGUGGGACGCUCUAGGACCCCCACAGCUGAGCUUGAAAGAACAGCUUAUGGACCACCAGGUUGUUACAGCCCCGCUGGAUACAUUAACAUGCCCCUGUCAGUGGCCAAUCAAGUGCUACAGUCAGGAGAUGAAGACCAGUAUGAUGUGGAUCACCUGCGUCGCAUUGCCCGCAGCCUCAGUGGAACCGUCAUCGGGCGACACCAGAACCGUCUUGCUGUCUCCCAAAGCUUUCUGGGGGGCAGCAUGGUUACAUCAUAUCACAGCUCCAUGCACUAACCUUGUUGCCUUAAAUUUCCAUCGUCUUAAUCAGAACUUCAUCUGCUCCAACCCAGCUGUCUUCAUCUCCUUUCAUUACCUUAGUCCCUUUCUCAGCAGCCUGAGCCUUGUGGAGAGUCCCCAGGAUACGUCUAGAGGUUCUCCAAGUUUCUGGCUGUGUUUGACCGGUGUCAAGCUCUCUCCAGUGGGCAGCACUACAGUCCAGCACUGAGGUGCCACAGAUGUCUUUAAGGACAGCCCAACCGCUGGGACCAUCCUCCAUUGCUCAGUUGGCUUUGGACACAACCAGGGAGAAUAUGGUCCUCCAGCCCUGGAAGUUCUCCACAGAUGCAUCUGUUCUCCGGGAUACCAUUUCUGCAGACCAAAUUCCAUGUUCCCCUUGUUUUUUUUUUGGAGUUCUGGUAGGAGCACAUCUCUUAUCCAGGCCUGAUGCCCACCUCAAUCACCCUGCACUUUGUAUUGUUCCUGGUACAAUUACUUCUAGACUUCCAUUACCUUGUUCUAGUCCUGCACAGCAGUAGAUCUUUCCAUGCAAUAGCUCCCCAAAAUUCACUCCACAGCAUGAAGGGAAAAUAAUACUGAAACAAACUUUUUUAGUAUUGUUUUUCAUUUAUUAUGAGGUGGGUGUACAGCACUGGGAUGGCGUUACACUGUGGGUAUCUCUCUGGGGCUAAGGUGUGUGUGUGUGUGUGUGUGUGUAUUACUUAUCUGCGGUCAGCCCUGCAGCAUGCAAUGAUAGGAGUGUGGGGUUCAGACUCACACCUCCCACAGUGAGCCAUCAAAUCAGGGCACUUAAUGAAAUGCUUUUUACCGAAACAUUCAGUUAUUUGCAGAGGAGAAGCAGACCUCAAUGCUGCACUUAAUGGUAAAUGUGUGUGUAUGUAAGCGUGUGCGCAUGUGUAUGUGAAAAUUCAAUUAGGUUUUUAAUCUGUAAUUUUGUCUCAUUUUCCAGUAGAAAUAUUUAAACAUCUUUAAAACCUAACCCUAACUAGCUCUAACCCUAUUUACUGAAAGGCAUAACUGUGUAAUGUUAAGACUUGUUUACAGAGAAUUUAUCUUAGAUUUUUUUUCCCCCUAAACAAAUUGGCAAUUUGGUUAUUGUUUUAAGCAUAAAUGUAACAAAAAUGAAUGAUGUUUAUGCUAAAAAAUUUGGAUAAAAAACAGUAUGGUGAAAAAAAAAUUUAAUUCAAGGUAUAUUCUCUGAAAAUAAGUCUUAUUAUCUUACGCAAUAAAUUAAUCUUGUUUUAAGCAUGUUUUGAAAUUUUUUACUAGAAAACAAGGCAUAAGUACUGAUUAAGAAAAUGUUUUAUUGCAUGUGUGUGGGAGGAAAGGAGAGGGGCUUAUUAUAACUUCACCCUCUUCAUAUGUUGAAAAAUACACAGACUCUUCCUCCUCGCCUAUCCUGCAGAUGCAAAACCAUACCAGCCAACAUAUCGGAAUUACCAAAACGUCCAACUGUCUAACAUUACUUGGCUGAAUGUUGUCUUCUCCCCAAUUCUCCUGCAAAACAACUUUUGGGUUAAUGUAAUCUAGAUGCUAAGUAUGUAUACCUGUAAAACAUGAAGAGAGAAGAUAUGUUUUAUAUGAUGUUAUCUCUCAGAUCUGGUGCUUUUUCUCGGAGUAGGCAUGUAAAUCUGCGGCCCUGGCAUGGAGAGUGGACAGAACUUUUUUCUUCUAACCUUUUUCUUAUACUUCUCUGAUACGGGCAUUCCCUGUAGCACACAGUUGUUUUGUGUCUCGUGUUACAGGCAAAGACUGUACAUGUUUGAUUGAACGUACACUAAUAAAUUAAGUUAUUGUUUAAAUAAAGCAUACAAACUGAAAUCUUAAGAAAUAUACAGAGGAAUGGAGAUACUACGUAAUGACGUUAUGGAAUGUUAAUCAAUUCUAGUAGUAAUAAUUAUUAUCUGCAUUAAGACAAGUAUAGUACACUUCAGAAGUGUAAAGCUGGAGAAAAACGGCUAUUUUAAUUCCAUUGACAGUUCUCCCAUUUAUACAGGGAGAUAUGCCAAGUUAAGCUUCCUUUUUAUUUUAUAGCUAUGAGUCUGGUACAAGCAUUCUAAAGGCAAUGGGUGGAAAAUCAGGCUUGUAAUAGUAAAGAGAACUCAUCCCAUUUGUUGUUUGCAGAAUCUAUGUUGUUCCUAGAUUUUACUUUAAAGCAAUGCCGCUGAAGAAUGUUUGGCCCUGAUGACUUAGAAACAUUCAAAUAUGGAUAGCAUAAAGCUAACACAAAGCACUACUGGUAUUUUUGGAAAUUGUAAUAAUAAAUGGGGACUUGAGUAAAGAAUGCUUUCGUACUGCAAAUGAAAUAAAUGUGAUAAGAUUUGUUGGAUUUAUUAACGAAGACCUGAUACUGAUCAACAAAUGUUUAAUAUCACAUUAUAGUAUGAUUAAUGCAGUAUUUAACUUUUCCAUUCUAAUCAUAUUGUGCUGAUGUGCAUUAUAUAUAUUUUUUUCAUUAAAAGCCUUUUAUGUGCACUAAAAUGAAACUCGUUAUCAAAGAAAUCACUUUAAAGAGUUGUAGAAUAGAUCAUAUUUACCUUUGUCUUAACCAAAGAUUGGCUCUUACACAAAGAUACUGUAUAUGCUUGUUUUUAUUUUUACUUCAUUGGUCAUUUGUUUUAGUUUUUUCCUUUAAAGGAUGGUUAAGAAUGUAGCAAAGGUGGUGUAUGAGUAUGCUAUGCAAAAUGCUCUCCCUGAACUACCAGCAAAGAGUCAGAUGGGACAAACCCAAAUAUUUUUCUUCUUUUUUUCCUAUGUAAGGAGGAAUUAAAUGAUUUCCUGCUGAAUUGUUGAAUCUUUACUUAUUAAAGUCUGUACAGUUAACAGCAUCUGAAUGCGAGUUGUAGCAAAUGGGAGAUGGAUUUCUCAAAGAUGAAAUGGUAUUUCAGGGGUUUUCCUUUUUGGGAUUCAUUUGUAAAUGCUUGAGGUUGAGUGAACUUGCAUUUUUGCAAUAAAGUUAUUACCGAUGCACUACA